GAUGAACGCUGGCGGCGUGCCUAAUACGUGCAAGUCGAGCGAACGGACGAGAAGCUUGCUUCUCUGAUGUUAGCGGCGGACGGGUAAGUAACACGUGGAUAACCUACCUAUAAGACUGGGAUAACUUCGGGAAACCGGAGCUAAUACCGGAUAAUAUUUUGAACCGCAUGGUUCAAAAGUGAAAGACGGUCUUGCUGUCACUUAUAGAUGGAUCCGCGCUGCAUUAGCUAGUUGGUAAGGUAACGGCUUACCAAGGCAACGAUGCAUAGCCGACCUGAGAGGGUGAUCGGCCACACUGGAACUGAGACACGGUCCAGACUCCUACGGGAGGCAGCAGUAGGGAAUCUUCCGCAAUGGGCGAAAGCCUGACGGAGCAACGCCGCGUGAGUGAUGAAGGUCUUCGGAUCGUAAAACUCUGUUAUUAGGGAAGAACAUAUGUGUAAGUAACUGUGCACAUCUUGACGGUACCUAAUCAGAAAGCCACGGCUAACUACGUG
rnacentral:rRNA from 1 species